AACGAACGCUGGCGGCAUGCCUAACACAUGCAAGUCGAACGAUAACUGCGAGUCUAUUGGCGCACUGGUGCGUAACGCGUGGGAACCGGCCCUUAGGUUCGGAAUAACUCGCCGAAAGGGGUUCUAAUACCGGAUAAGGUCUUCGGACCAAAGAUGUAUCGCCUUUGGAUGGGCCCGAGUUGGAUUCGCUGGUGGGUAGGGUAAAAGCCUACCAAGGCGACUAGCCGUAGCUGGUCUGAGAGGAAGAGUAGCCACUCUGGCACUGGGAAACGGCCCAGACUCCUACGGGAAGCAGCAGUGGCUAAUGUUGGCAUAUCGCCGAUAGCCUGAUGCCGUACUGCUGGGUGAGUGAUGAAGGCGUUAGGGUUGUAAAGAUCUUUUAUCCCGGAUGAUAAUGACAUUACCCGCAGAAUAAGCUCCGGCUAACUCCGUG
rnacentral:rRNA from 1 species